GAACGCUGGCGGCAGGCCUAACACAUGCAAGUCGAACGGUAACAGGAAGCAGCUUGCUGCUUUGCUGACGAGUGGCGGACGGGUGAGUAAUGUCUGGGAAACUGCCCGAUGGAGGGGGAUAACUACUGGAAACGGUAGCUAAUACCGCAUAACGUCGCAAGACCAAAGAGGGGGACCUUAGGGCCUCUUGCCAUCGGAUGUGCCCAGAUGGGAUUAGCUAGUAGGUGGGGUAACGGCUCACCUAGGCGACGAUCCCUAGCUGGUCUGAGAGGAUGACCAGCCACACUGGAACUGAGACACGGUCCAGACUCCUACGGGAGGCAGCAGUGGGGAAUAUUGCACAAUGGGCGCAAGCCUGAUGCAGCCAUGCCGCGUGUAUGAAGAAGGCCUUCGGGUUGUAAAGUACUUUCAGCGGGGAGGAAGGGAGUAAAGUUAAUACCUUUGCUCAUUGACGUUACCCGCAGAAGAAGCACCGGCUAACUCCGUG
rnacentral:rRNA from 1 species